ensembl:lncRNA
GGCACCAGUCAGACCCUGGUUUCAUCACUGUUUCCAAUGCUGAUACAUGCUAUUGAAAAAAACAAACCAACACUGGCGGUAAGGUACCUGGAAAAAGCAAGAACCUGGAUUGAUGAACUUAUUGCAGAUGCGGACAAGAUGGUGCAAAGCUAUGUUCAACACAACGAAGAUGUGGCCACAACUACCAGUGACAUCAUCACUGAAAAGGCAAACACUGAGGCCAAGUCUGAGCAGCUUUCCAAGGAAGUUCAGGAAAUGGAGGGAGCUAUAAAGACCCUUGAAGAAAAGCUUGCCGGAGUUAGGAACGAGCUUGAAGACACCAAAAGGAAGAUAGAUGCCAAAAACCUGGAACUUGAGAGUUAUGUAAGGGACGUGACAAGCAAAAGCUCAGGCCUCGGAAUCUUCGCUGCGAUUGUGCCAUUCAUUGGGCCAAUCGUCAAGUCCAUUUACGAUGCCGCAACAUCCCCCGCUGCUGCUGCAAAAAUCAAAGCUCUUGAAAACCAGCUGAAUCAGCUCACCUCUCAAAAGGCGGCUCUGAUGAACCAACAGUGGAGCAUUGAGGUCCAGCAGAUUGACUUACAGAUGAAACUGGCCAAAGUAAAAAUUGACAAGGGCUCUAUACCCAGCCCUGUCCACCUGAACGAGGUCCAGCGAUAUCUGACUAAAAUCCAGAACAUUCUGAUUCAGAUCAAAAACUUCUGGCAAAAGGUGCACAGUAUGUUGGGUGUCAUGCAGAAAAAGACAUUUGUUAAUGAAGAUCUUGUUGAUGAACCUGAACUUAAAGAAGAAUUUGUGAAUUCAAUCCAAAAGGCUUCAGAGAUUUGGUCAAAUUUUGGUGGUUCCUGUGGUAAAGCUGCUGAAAUAUUCAAAAUACAGUCCAAGGAUGCCUAUGCGUUCCUGGAGAUUGAUCCAUCGUCUCUCUCAGACGCCGUGUGGCAGGAAGAGUAUAACAGUGUUAUGGGACAGCUACAGGAAAUGAAAGUCUUGAACCAGACUCCAGCAGCCAUCCAAAACUAAAGCACUAAAUACUACUGUGCAUUUCUCCUCUGAGGCUGUCAAAUCAAAUACUCUGUUAAUUGGUGGUCAUAUAUUGGUAAUUUUUAUAGAUAAUAUUGAUUUUCUGUAUUUAGGUACAAUCAGUCAUUCCUUUUUUAAUCAGAACUAUAUGACCUUGUAGUCAGUCAUACACAAUUUACAAUGUAUGUGUACCUGAUUAAAAUAGCGUAGCUUUCUCAUUUAAGCCUCAAAUCAUUCAAGGCUGAAAAAAAAUCUUUCUCCUCUUUUAAUUUCCCAUAAUGAACUUUACUGCCAUGUGAAACUGGCCAUUACAGCAGCUCAAUGAAUCUGUUUUUCAGAGCCACCUACUUCCAAAUCUUUG